rnacentral:rRNA from 1 species
UCGAGAAUCUUCGGCAAUGGGCGCAAGCCUGACCGAGCGACGUCGCGUGGAGGACGAAGGCCUUCGGGUUGUAAACUCCUGUCGAGGGGGAGAAAGGUCGCGCAAGCGGCUUGAUCGAUCCCUGGAGGAAGCACGGGCUAAGUUCGUGCCAGCAGCCGCGGUAAGACGAACCGUGCGAACGUUAUUCGGAAUCACUGGGCUUAAAGCGCGUGUAGGCGGAUUGGUGCGUCGGCGCCUGAAAUCCCCCGGCUCAACCGGGGAACGCGGCACGAAACGGCCAGUCUGGAGGGACGUAGGGGGGACUGGAACUUCCGGUGGAGCGGUGAAAUGCGUUGAGAUCGGAAGGAACGCCCGUGGCGAAAGCGAGUCCCUGGACGUCGACUGACGCUGAGUCACGAAAGCGUGGGGAGCAAACA